rnacentral:rRNA from 1 species
CGCCUGUUUACCAAAAACAUCGCCUCUUGCUUCAGUGAAUAAGAGGUCACGCCUGCCCUGUGACUAUAUGUUUAACGGCCGCGGUAUUUUGACCGUGCAAAGGUAGCGCAAUCACUUGUCCUUUAAAUGUGGACCUGUAUGAAUGGCAUAACGAGGGCUUAGCUGUCUCCUUUCUCAAGUCAAUGAACUUGAUCUCCCCGUGCAGAAGCGGGGAUAAAACCAUAAGACGAGAAGACCCUAUGGAGCUUUAGACAAAAAACAGCCCCUGUCAAUAAACCCUAAAUAAAGGAAAUAAACCUAGUGAACCUGUUUUAAUGUCUUUGGUUGGGGCGACCGCGGGGUAACAAAAAACCCCCAUGUGGAAUGAAAACACCCUUUUUAAAACCAAGAGUCACCACUCUAAGUUACAGAACAUCUGACCAAUAAUGAUCCGGCUAAAGCCGAUUAACGAACCGAGUUACCCUAGGGAUAACAGCGCAAUCCUCUUUUAGAGUCCAUAUCGACAAGAGGGUUUACGACCUCGAUGUUGGAUCAGGACAUCCCAAUGGUGCAGCCGCUAUUAAAGGUUCGUUUGUUCAACGAUUAAAGUCCUACGUGAUCUGAGUUCAGACCGG